CCUACGGGAGGCUGCAGUGGGGAAUAUUGGACAAUGGGGGCAACCCUGAUCCAGCCAUGCCGCGUGUGUGAAGAAGGCCCUCGGGUUGUAAAGCACUUUCAGUGAGGAAGAACGCCUGGUGGUUAAUACCCAUCAGGAAAGACAUCACUCACAGAAGAAGCACCGGCUAACUCCGUGCCAGCAGCCGCGGUAAUACGGAGGGUGCGAGCGUUAAUCGGAAUUACUGGGCGUAAAGCGCGCGUAGGUGGCUUGAUAAGCCGGUUGUGAAAGCCCCGGGCUCAACCUGGGAACGGCAUCCGGAACUGUCAAGCUAGAGUGCAGGAGAGGAAGGUAGAAUUCCCGGUGUAGCGGUGAAAUGCGUAGAGAUCGGGAGGAAUACCAGUGGCGAAGGCGGCCUUCUGGACUGACACUGACACUGAGGUGCGAAAGCGUGGGUAGCAAACAGGAGUAGAUACCCCAGUAGUC
rnacentral:rRNA from 1 species